CCGGCGAGGGGAGUGAAAAAGAACCUGAAACCGUGUACGUACAAGCAGUGGGAGCACAGGUUUACCUGUGUGACUGCGUACCUUUUGUAUAAUGGGUCAGCGACUUAUAUUCUGUAGCAAGGUUAACCGUAUAGGGGAGCCGUAGGGAAACCGAGUCUUAACCGGGCGUUAAGUUGCAGGGUAUAGACCCGAAACCCGGUGAUCUAGCCAUGGGCAGGUUGAAGGUUGGGUAACACUAACUGGAGGACCGAACCGACUAAUGUUGAAAAAUUAGCGGAUGACCUGUGGCUGGGGGUGAAAGGCCAAUCAAACCGGGAGAUAGCUGGUUCUCCCCGAAAGCUAUUUAGGUAGCGCCUCGUGAAUUCAUCUCCGGGGGUAGAGCACUGUUUCGGCUAGGGGGCCAUCCCGGCUUACCAACCCGAUGCAAACUGCGAAUACCGGAGAAUGUUAUCACGGGAGACACACGGCGGGUGCUAACGUCCGUCGUGAAGAGGGAAACAACCCAGACCGCCAGCUAAGGUCCCAAAGUCAUGGUUAAGUGGGAAACGAUGUGGGAAGGCCCAGACAGCCAGGAUGUUGGCUUAGAAGCAGCCAUCAUUUAAAGAAAGCGUAAUAGCUCACUGGUCGAGUCGGCCUGCGCGGAAGAUGUAACGGGGCUAAACCAUGCACCGAAGCUGCGGCAGCGAACGUAUCACCCAAGACAACUUUACGGAGUUGACGAUUGACGGAGCGAAGCGACGUCAAAGCGUUCAUUAAAGUCGAGUUGGCUUAGGGAUACGUUCGUUGGGUAGGGGAGCGUUCUGUAAGCCUGUGAAGGUGUGUCGUGAGGCAUGCUGGAGGUAUCAGAAGUGCGAAUGCUGACAUAAGUAACGAUAAAGCGGGUGAAAAGCCCGCUCGCCGGAAGACCAAGGGUUCCUGUCCAACGUUAAUCGGGGCAGGGUGAGUCGACCCCUAAGGCGAGGCCGAAAGGCGUAGUCGAUGGGAAACGGGUUAAUAUUCCCGUACUUGGUGUUACUGCGAAGGGGGGACGGAGAAGGCUAUGUUGGCCGGGCGACGGUUGUCCCGGUUUAAGCGUGUAGGUGUGUGUUCCAGGUAAAUCCGGUUCACUUUAACACUGAGGCGUGACGACGAGGCACUACGGUGCUGAAGCAACAAAUGCCCUGCUUCCAGGAAAAGCCUCUAAGCAUCAGGUAACACGAAAUCGUACCCCAAACCGACACAGGUGGUCAGGUAGAGAAUACCAAGGCGCUUGAGAGAACUCGGGUGAAGGAACUAGGCAAAAUGGUGCCGUAACUUCGGGAGAAGGCACGCUGACACGUAGGUGAAGUGAUUUACUCAUGGAGCUGAAGUCAGUCGAAGAUACCAGCUGGCUGCAACUGUUUAUUAAAAACACAGCACUGUGCAAACACGAAAGUGGACGUAUACGGUGUGACGCCUGCCCGGUGCCGGAA
rnacentral:rRNA from 2 species